rnacentral:rRNA from 1 species
UCGGGAAUUUUGCUCAAUGGGCGAAAGCCUGAAGCAGCAACGCCGCGUGAGGGAUGAAGGCCUUCGGGUUGUAAACUUCUUUUCUCAGGGACGAUAAUGACGGUACCUGAGGAAUAAGCCACGGCUAACUACGUGCCAGCAGCCGCGGUAAUACGUAGGUGGCGAGCGUUGUCCGGAUUUACUGGGCGUAAAGAGCGCGCAGGCGGUCGUGCAAGUCGAGUGUGAAAGCCCCCGGCUCAACUGGGGAGGGUCACUCGAUACUGCUCGACUCGAAGGCGGGAGAGGGAAGUGGAAUUCCCGGUGUAGUGGUGAAAUGCGUAGAUAUCGGGAGGAACACCAGUGGCGAAGGCGACUUCCUGGCCCGUUCUUGACGCUGAGGCGCGAAAGCUAGGGGAGCAAACGGG